rnacentral:rRNA from 1 species
GUGAGGAAUAUUGCACAAUAGGCGCAAGCCUGAUGCAGCAACGCCGCGUGGACGAUGAAGGCCUUCGGGUUGUAAAGUCCUUUUCUGGGGGAAGACAUGGACGGUACCCCAGGAAUAAGUGUCGGCUAACUACGUGCCAGCAGCCGCGGUAAAACGGAGGACGCGAGCGGUAUCCGGAUUUACUGGGCGUAAAGCGCGUGCAGGCGGUCUGUUAAGUCGUGCGUGAAAGCUCCCUGGCUCAACCGGGAGAGGUCGUACGAAACUAGCAGGCUUGAGGGCAGCAGAGGAGUGUGGAAUUCCGGGUGUAGUGGUGAAAUGCGUAGAUAUCCGGAGGAACACCAGUGGCGGAGGCGACACUCUGGGCUGUACCUGACGCUAAGACGCGAAAGCAUGGGUAGCGAACGGGAUUAGAAACCCUGGUAGUCC